rnacentral:rRNA from 1 species
GACGAACGCUGGCGGCGUGCUUAACACAUGCAAGUCGAACGGAAAGGCCCUGCUUUUGUGGGGUGCUCGAGUGGCGAACGGGUGAGUAACACGUGAGUAACCUGCCCUUGACUUUGUGAUAACUUCAGGAAACUGGGGCUAAUAUCGGAUAGGAGCUCCUGCUGCAUGGUGGGGGUUGGAAAGUUUCGGCGGUUGGGGAUGGACUCGCGGCUUAUCAGCUUGUUGGUGGGGUAGUGGCUUACCAAGGCAUUGACGGGUAGCCGGCCUGGGAGGGUGACCGGGCACAUGGGGACUAAGAGACGGCGCAGACUGCUACGGGAGGCAGCAGUGGGGAAUAUUGCACAAUGGGCGGGAGCCUGAUGCAGAGACGCCGCGUGCGGGAUGACGGCCUUCGGGUUGUAAACCGCUUUGGCCUGUGACGAAGCGUGAGUGACGGUAAUGGGUAAAGAAGCACCGGCUAACUACGUG